rnacentral:tRNA from 1 species
UAGACUUUCUGGGAAGGCUGUAAACUUUCUUUUUUGUGUUAUCUUAAGGGUUUAA